rnacentral:lncRNA from 1 species
CUGAGAAGGAAUAAAUAAAAGAGGCCGGUCUUACAUAUCACUAGGAACUUAAAUAAGAUAGGAUGAAGCUUGCUCCUCGAGAUGCAUAACGGGCAAGGAUUACAUACAAAAAUGGCUCGAAAAAUAAAAGUGAAGAAGCAUGCAAGGAUUUUUCUUAUAUAUUCCUCUUCUACUCAGGA